UACGUAGGGGGCAAGCGUUGUUCGGAAUUACUGGGCGUAAAGGGCGCGUAGGCGGCUCAGCAAGUCGGGCGUGAAAGCCCGGGGCUCAACCCCGGAACUGCUUUCGAAACUGCUGAGCUAGAGUACAGAAGGGGCAACCGGAAUUCCCAGUGUAGCGGUGAAAUGCGUAGAUAUUGGGAAGAACACCUGAGGCGAAGGCGGGUUGCUGGGCUGAUACUGACGCUGAGGCGCGAAAGCCAGGGGAGCAAACGGG
rnacentral:rRNA from 1 species